AGCAACACACUGAAAGAAAUUUCUGCCCAAGGCCUCAAGGGGGAAAAAAAAGGCACUAGAAGGAAAAUUUCUCUACUGAGGAAGGCAGGGUGCUCCGUGAGCAGAGCACGGGGAGCUCCACCACCAACGCUGAGGUGGAGGCGGGCUCCCCUGGCAUUCAGACCCAGUGGGAGGAAGGCUGUGCCAGACGAAACCCAGAGAAACUGCAAGCUCUACUUUAGAGUCAACGUAAGAACUCACAUUCUAUAGCUUUCAGGAAAAGGCAAAUUCUGUGUUUUAACCAGAAACAUAAGAAAAAAAGGAAGAGGGAGACUGGUAGGAAGGAAGAGGACAGAAAACUCUAGAAAACAGUCACACAGCUGGUGUUCAGGGUGAAGCUGUCGCUGGAACCCUGAACUUUUGCUUCUCAGGGAUGGACUGUGAAGUUGCAGCGUGUUAUAAUGGUGUUAGGAGCAGCGCGUGAUCAGAGCACACGGAUCUGCACAGUGUUAAAACAUGGUGACUUCAACCAUUUGACUAAGAUCUUCCACUGUAGCCAAAUCUACUGCACUGUUCCAACAGUUUCCCAGAAUGGUAGUAAUUACAGAAGAACAGAAAAAAAAGAUGGACAGGACCCAGAGAAAAUGUCAGUUUACUAGUGUUGGGUGGAGGUAGAGAUGAUGCAUUUGUAUAACUUAACACUUUUUGAGCAUUUCUUUGUGACCACAGAUUCUUUACCUGAAGUCCAUGAUAAGAACUGAAACAUUCAAUAUGAGAAGAUGGUUUGCAUCUUUUACAAAACUGUCACUGAAAUGCUGCAUUCCCUUCAUUACAAAUAUGUCUGAGUUAACCAAGUGUGGGACACUCUAGCUUGAACAGAAGAUUCACAGACUUCACCAAGGCUGCCAAUCUGAUAGUCAGCGCUGACAUGAAUGUCAACCAAAACCCUCUUGGCAUCAUGAAAAAUGGCUCAAUGGGGAAAUUAAAACUUUUGUAAACAAAACUAUGGACUGAGUUCAAAUGGGCUGAGAAUUCAUUUUUUAUUCCAGGGAACUCCUUUAUCUCUGAUUAUCACUAUAAUGGAAAUUGAUAGAUCUUCUACCAAGAAUUCAAUCUCUGCACAUAACUUUUGUCCUCUGAAGAAUAUGGAGUGUGUAAAACUGUCACAAACAGUAAGAUACUGAGAGUCCACAGCCUCUAGCAUCCUCAACUACAACGGGAAUUCCUCAUGCAAAAAGAGACCAGUUGAAAUGGAAGGCUUGUUGAGUACAGAAACAAGGCCUCAAUGUGUUGUGUGAUAUCUUUUAAUCCCAGGGAAGGCACAAAGAUAGAAGCUGAAUGAUCAGUGAAAGACACAGCUACACCAUCAUCGUCAUAGAUGGGAUCUCAUUUGAUCUGUCUGAGGUCACUGUGAGAAAAGGACACUUGGACAUGGGCAGAGCCAAAUUCUCCACCCACCUGCUGUCAGGGAUAUUGUUCCUGAGGAUCAUGAACAAAAUCAGGGGUAAGCAAGACAUACUUGGAUGCUGAAAAAUAUUAAAUAGCUCUUUCUCACUAUGUGGGGAUCAAACAAUUUCCAGUAUGUAAGAGCACACUCUAAGGAGUAAGAGAAAUUGACACUGAGUUUACAUCUGCAAAACAACGAUGAGAACAUAGGUGUCUCUUUUAAUCCCUGCUUGGCUUCUAUAUGCUCUUAAGGAAUCCCUUGAGAUCACCUGAUCCAGGAGCAUAUCCAGAAAGUAAGUUCACUGGCCGUCCUUACUGACGAGUGCCCCUACUUUCUCCAGAAACUCACACACCUAACUUCAAAUUGUGUUUCCACAGCACAAGCUACAAUUGAUUUCCACUAUAACAGGCACGUUUAAAAAAGGAAACAUUGCUAGCAAAAUUAAACAAAUGAUCAAGAGACUUGAACAAUUGCUUUUAAACUCUUUCAAAGAGAUUAAAAGGGGGGAAAGGGGACAGACUGGAAUAGCAAAGCACUUCCCAGCCUGCAAAAGGGAUCACCUCCAGAGAUAGACAGAGGCAAGUAAUGGCUCUGAAAAAUGCUGCUCUGGGCCCUAGAACAAAGGUGACUCUAAGACAUGAGUUGUCUACCUGAUCACCUAGGCAAUCUUCCUUAACAGCAAGACAAGGCUAAGAUUGACUCAAAAUCCACUCUAAAAUUCUGUGUCUAUCUGCAACACACUUAGGAAACUCACAGGUUAAAACUUGUACUCAUUGUGAAGCAACCAAAAUUUAUUAGUGAAAGUAUUUCCCUCUCUUACACAUGUAAAUGAUGAGAACCAGAUCUAUUGGGGAGAGAGAGAGCCAGGAGGUUGGGGAUUCUCCCUUAAAUUAAAUUUGUUUCUUCCUCUCAAGUAUUGCGCUUAGGAAAUAGCUCCUUCUAGUCUAAUCCAGAAGUCAGUUCUUUCCAUGGAGUCUCAGAUUCAAUUUCCCAUACCUGGGAGAACAACAAGCAGACACAUUGCUUUCAUGUGCUCUUCAGAACAGGCAAAAUUCUGACCCAGAGACGGGGGAUGUGUUCUUCAUCUAAGAAAAUGUGAUUCAUUUUACUUGAAUUUGUGUACUUUCUGUAUGUUUAUAUAUGUGCACAAAUAUAUACACACACAAAAAAAAACUUUUGGAAGGAUGCUCAGCUUCUGAGAAUGGGAAUGAAAUGGAAAGAAUGGCAAAGAAAGAAGUAAACUUCACUCAAUUUAUUCUUGUAUUGUUUACAGUAUUAUUCUACCUCCUUCAAGUUGCUAAAAAUUUCCUAACUGUGUUUCGUUUUCUCUCUCCAUAGGAAUGAGUGAAGGUGAGAAGAAUAGGAAAGGGAGAGAUUAUAAUUCCCUUUCUUCCUCUCCAUCACCUUUUUCUCACCUCCCAUCCUCCUUCUGCCCAAGAUACACACACACAAAAAGAGGCCCUCUCCUGAGAAUGCUCUUCCCUUCCCAAUUUUGUCUGGGCAAUGCCUUUCAUCUUGCAAGUCAACCUUCACAUUUUAGCUCUUUGAGUUUCCCACCCCACCACCUAGUAGGUCAAGGACACCUCCUCCAUGUUUCCAUGGCCUCUCUAUGAUGCGUUAAAGUCCCACCCACAUAUAACCUGCCUCUGCGGAUAAAAGGAACUUGCUGUUUAUCAUCAGCACCUAGCACUGUGAUCAGCAGUUAACAGGGGCCCAGUGACAUACUGAGUGACUCUGAGCUGAGGUACCCUAAGUAAACAUCUCUUUACACAGUAUACACUUGAUCUAGUCACCUUUAAAUCUUUGUUUAAGCAAACAUCAGGUUAUGAUCCAGCUGGAAAACAUCAGAGUGUAAGACAAGGUGUACAGAUAAAGACAGUUUAGAAUAACAUAAAUCAUACCAGCAUUUACCAUUCCCUUCUCUGACCUUCCCCACACUCAUCGCAUCAUGAAAGAUCACUCAGAUCUUGGCAGCAGGCUCUGGCAGACUGAAAAGGAGCCAUACCUGUUUUUCAGUCUUUAUUUUGAAUUUUUAUUGACAUUUUUACCUGUGUUCUGCCUGAUGUCUUUCAGGCAAGCUCUGAUACAACUGAUUGAUAUGCUGUUUUCCCUCUGCAGGUCUGCCCAGAGGGAAGGAAAGGGCCUCAGAAGGGCUGACGAGGUGUGUCUAAAGCAGCCAGUGAAUCAGACACUGGAGCCAAAGCUGACUCUUUGAAUUCUAAAAGUGAAUAAUGAGAUAUCUUGAGAUUAGCUCAGUAGCACUAAAAAAAAGUCACUAGGGGGAAAUGGCCACAUCUUCUGGAAAGUAAGAGGCUGCUCCCUAAUUCAGCCUAUAGGGACAUUCUGGAAAGUAAGAGAGUAAACUAUAUGAUGGUGAAUGUUUAAAUAAAAAUUUAUCACAAGAAAAGACACAUUGCCAUUCAUUCCCCUCAAAAUAAUUUCCCUAGCUUCACACAUUUUUUUUUUUUUUUUUUGCCACUUUCUAAAGCAGUUUUGGAAGCCUCUUUUUGUGAAUACCUUUAUGAAGUGUGAUAAAAAAUGUGUUGCCUGGAGCUACUGAGUGCCCUCCAAUGGAAAAAGUGGUCUCAAAAGAACAUUAGGAUGUGUCUUCAUUUGUCUCAUUCACCAAAUCUGGCACCAUGUGAUCUCUGGUGCUUCCCAAAGUCAAGAUGAUGAUGAAAGGUAAAGGUUUUGAAUUUAUUCAAGACCCCAAGAUAUCCAUGCCUUAAGACAUUUGUGAAAGAGGACUUACAGAAAGCUGCAUCAAAAAGUCACAAGGAUGAUGAGGAUAUCCAAGUGCUUGCAUAGGGUGGGAGUUACAUCAAAGGGGAUUAAUGGUAAUGUGUCUUUCACUGUAAUAAGUUUUUUAUUUAAACACUUGCCUUAGACUUUUUUCAAUCUUGCAGUAUACAGUUCAUGCUAGUUCCACUUUUCCACCAGAUGGCUGCUCCCUAAUUCAGCCUAUAAGGACAUUCUGGAGAAAACAAAGAGCCAUAACCCUUCCUUCCACCCAUUUGCAGAGCUGCUCUCAGGUUUGCAGUGUCCCCAAGCCUGAGGGAGCAGAAGUGAGGAUGAGGAAAGGAAGAGACACAGGGACCAGCAUAGACCGGUUCUUUCUCAUAUCUUCCUUCUACAGAGAAGCAUGCUAACACCCAGACAGACAAAGAGGCCACAUCCCUCUGGUGGUGAACCAUGGCAGGCUUCUGAGGGGAAUUCGGGUCUCUUCAAUGCUAGUCAUGAUGGUUUCUCUCGCCUGGCUUUCAAAUGAGGACAACAGUUAUUGAUUACACUGUGCUAUAAUAUGAGUCUAGGACAGGGAUCAACUGUAGCUCAAAAGACUUCUCCACCUGACUUGCCAAUUUCCCAUAUAAAGUAUUGAUUUUAUUCUUUGAUUUUUUUGUAAAUGUACCCUUGACAAAGCCAAUAAAUGCUUAAGUGACUGUGAAUCUCUUAGGUAGAGUGGUUAAGGGCCAACAAGGGCCUGGAAGGAAGGGUGUGUGUGUGUGUGUGCGUGCUUGAAUGUGUGAAGAUUUCUAACUUUCCAAGUGGAAUAUAAUGCUAACAGGGAAGAGAUAGUUCUAGAUCUACUUUUUGUCUAGAGACAACUCUGGCUUCAGGGACUUUCCCAUCAGGAGUGUUCACCGUCAUUCCAAUCACAAGCAGGAUGUGGGCUCACUAUUCUAUACAUCCUGGCCUGGCUGUUCUUACAGCCAUAACCUCCCUUGACCCAGAUUCUCCCUGGCAGCCCAGGGAAAGAUGGCUCUAUGUUGAUCAGCAGACUGGGCUAUAAACUGAAAGGCUGCCAGGGCAUGUGUCAGCAGCUCUUCCUGGGAGCACAAGGUGAGAGGGCAGGGCGUGUGCUGUGUCCCACACUCAUCUGUAGAGUCCUAAACCACUUGCUCAUUCCCAUGCCUAUUCCUUCCCCCUCACAGUGGACUUUGGGCCAUUGCUUAACUCCCACAGCAGGGCUUCCUUCAAACCCUGACCAGUGUCCUAUUCUGGUAUCUCUGCCUUUAACACUUGUCCUAAGCUCCUUCUAAACACUGACCUGUCUCUACAGUUCUACUUACUUGGAGGAACCUAGAAUGGGAAGCGAGGAAUAAACAGGCUACUCCUGCAAACGCACAUCAAGGAAGCCUGUGUGAAGUGAUCUGACCUCCUCUUCCUCUUAAUGUUUCCUGUGAGGGUGGAUAAAGGAACCUAAUGCAUCCAAAGCUCUCAGAAGUUCUGGGGGACAAAGGUUAUGAGGGCCCAGAUUCUGCGCUUUAAUUGGGGUAUUUAAUAAUACCACUAAUAACUAGAUUUCCCCCUCCUUAAACAAAAUUUGAUUGCAUGAAUCUCCCAAAGGUCUCCUCUAGAUAGAAUUCUAAAAAGUCAACAAGUGGAAAAUAUUGCAGUCUUCAAUAAAGACUGACCCCAGACAGUGCUUUGCUGACACUGGGGGAGGGGACACAUUUCCUAUGCAGCAUGGAGAAUUCUUCCUUUCUGGAAAGUCUCAGAGGCUGAAGAGGUAAUGUGAAACACUAAAGUGAACUUGAUUACCGAGAUUUAAUAAGGUCUGACAUUUCUAUGCCUAAUCCUCAUAUAUAUUCCAUUAUGGUGAUUUUCCAAGGCAGUCCACCAAAAUGAAGCUGUCUUGGGUACAGAAGAGAGGGUGAAAGGCAAGAGGGACUAUAAUCAUUAAGAAAAUAAAAGCAAUCACAAAUAAUCCCAACAAAACUUCUGGAAAAAAACAGUCCUGAUUCAGAUUUUAAAAAAACAACUUCUCCCUUUAAAUUAUCUUCCAGACUCCAGUGAAACCCUAAACUACGUUAUUUAUAUGCUUACAUUAUGAAAUCCAAUGUAAAACUAAACAUUUUAAAAAUAGACUCAUGAAAUGACAUUGCAGAAAGCCAGGAGAAAGUAGGGUUGGUAAGAAAAUCCUUUGCAAACUCAGCCUGCCGGGAUCUGGACAGGGCAGGAAUUCAGUCUCCUCGCUGUAGCUCUGUAGGGCUUCUCUCUGUGGCUGAUCAGACAUUCUUCAGUGGUGCUUAGUCUAAAGGUAAAAAAGCUAAAAACUCACUCCAAAAAGCGAGCAGCUCCCUUUUCGUGACUGUUAGAACUCAGAAUGUCAGGCUUGUGUUCACAGUGACCAGAUGAGUGAAAUAUUACAGGUCUCACAUAGGGAGGCUUCCAAUAGCAUGAGUAAUUUUGUGCUAUUUUUGGAUGAUGUGCUUCCUUAAAACAAAGCGAUAAAUUAAAGUGGCCUCAGCAAUACAAUAAAAAUGUUGAACUGUGUUAAGGCACAGGGAAAAUGCAGUCUGAGUGUACAAAGAAGGAGGCAGAGGAUGGAAAGGUUUGGAGCUGUCUCUUGACUGGGAAAGGAAUGUAAACCGACCAGUCAGGCUGGUAUUGAAUUUGGGGACUCACACUGUGUCCAGUAUUGUGCCUGGGCCUGAGGAAUUGUUAAAGAGAAUUUCUGUUUGUUUGUUUCUGAAUAUUCAGUUCAUUCCUUGAAAGCAAGGACUUUAUUUGUGUUUUUACCAUCAGCCUGUGCCUUGCCCAGCCAGGUAACAUCCCACCUUCACUGACCUUGUUUUGGUCUUUGCUGGAAUCUUACCAGGCUCCCCAAAGUCCAGGCUCUAUUUCUCCAGGUUUACUUUGCUAAAUCCUACAUCCCACAUGUUCUCCCAGCUCCAGUUUAAACUCCCCGCCGCUCCUUAGUGACUCUGCCCUUUGCUGGUGGCUCCUUUCCCCCUUCUCCUGAUGCACUGAGGGCUAGAGCACACAGCAGUAAUACCUGGAUGAGCAGCAUCGAGAAAGGGCAUCUUAGGAGCAGCAUGGGCAGAGGCAGACCCAGUGCCCAAAGUGAUGCUAAGGGGAAAACUGGAGGGGCAGAGGGAGCUGGGAAGGGAGAGAAGCCAGCAAGAUGUCACUUGGGAAAUCUGAAACAGAGUAAAGCAAUCUCAGAGACAUCCCUCAAAAUGAUUCCCAGAAGCAUCUGCAAAAUAAAUAAAUGCAUUAGUGCUGAGUCCUCUACCCUAAAUCAUAAUGGCACACUGGAGAGAGGUGAUAGGAAAUAAAGGUAGAUUGAGAGAAGCUUCUUUUCUGACUCAGAUCCCUAUCCUUCCCACAGUGGCACUUCCUUUCUUCCUUUUGGUCAUGCUGUCUGUUCCUGCUUGGGUACUGUAGGUAUCUGUGGUUGAGCAGAUUUCUCAUGUGACCAUAUGCUCCAUGCUAUGGUUACAUAGGAGUAUUGUGCCCUGAAGGUCCAUAUGCUAAAGGCUUUCUGUUGAGCUGGUGUUAUUGGGAUGGGCUGUGGGCCUUGCUGGGGAUGUAGCCUUGCGUCCAGCUGUAGUCCCUUGUUUGCUUUUUCACACUCUCCUGACACAGUGUGCCACUAUUACCAGAGGCUAAGCCAACAGGACUUACUGAUCCUGUGUACAAAUCCCCAAAACUAUUAGCUAAGCAAAUCAUUUAUAUGCAUAAGGUUAGGUGCCUCUGGUAUUUCAUUGUGGCAGUGCAAAACUGACUAAUACCCUUCCCAAAACAGAAUCAUGAUAUUUUCUUUCACUGUUGUUUCAAAAGCUGAGUCUGGUGCAUGGGUAAGUAUGUGACAUAAAGAUCUAUUUUCAAUUAUCUGUCUUACUUGCUCUUUAUUUAUGAGAGAUGGAGGAAAGAGGGGAGGGAAUGGGGCUGAAAAAAGGAAUUAAGAUGUGUUAUAUACAUGUACCAAUGGCCCACAAGGAAUGUAAACAUUACGUGCUGCAAACAUGUACUAAAAAAAAGUUUUUUUUAAAAUUGAGUUACUAAAAACCAAGUAUGUGAGAGAAGAGUGGGUUCACCCUCAGAGUGCUGGUGGCAUUGACAAAUUGCUUUGGAAAGAGCAUUCUAGAAGUGGGAAGCUAGUUAUCAGGGAGUGAUUAGAAAUGGCAGCUCAGUACCAUUGGAACUUGAGAAAUUUUUGAGAUUUGUUGUGAGAGAGUUUUAUUUUUUGUCAGUGUGAACACCUUGCUUCUCAAUCCUGGUGACAAUGUCCAGGUUUGGUACUAUGACUUCUCAUCAAAAAUCUAA